UACGUAGGUGGCAAGCGUUGUCCGGAUUUACUGGGCGUAAAGAGCGCGCAGGCGGUCGAUCAAGUCGCGUGUGAAAGCCCCCGGCUCAACUGGGGAGGGUCACGCGAUACUGAUCGACUCGAAGGCAGGAGAGGGUAGUGGAAUUCCCGGUGUAGUGGUGAAAUGCGUAGAUAAUCGGGAGGAACACCGGUGGCGAAGGCGGGGUCUCUGGGCCGUAACUGACGCUGAGGAGCGAAAGCAUGGGGGAGCGAACAGG
rnacentral:rRNA from 1 species